rnacentral:rRNA from 1 species
GACGAACGCUGGCGGCGUGCUUAAUACAUGCAAGUCAACUGAACUUGAAGUAGCAAUAUUUCAAGGGAGGUGGCGCACGGGUGAGUAACACGUAGGUAAUCUGCCUUUAGGUCUGACAUAAUUCCGCGAAAGCGGGACUAAUUUCAGAUGAUGCAGCGGCUCGACAUCGAGACAGUUGUUAAAUCUUCGGAGCCUAAAGAUGAGCCUGCGUCUGAUUAGGUAGUUGGCGGAGUAAAAGCCCACCAAGCCUGCGAUCAGUAGCUGGUCUGAGAGGAUGAUCAGCCACACUGGAACUGAGACACGGUCCAGACUCCUACGGGAGGCAGCAGUAAGGAAUAUUGCGCAAUGGAGGCAACUCUGACGCAGCCAUGCCGCGUGCAGGAAGAAGGCGCUACGCGUUGUAAACUGCUUUUAUCCGGGAAGAAACCCCAGGACGUGUCCUGGGUUGACGGUACCGGAGGAAUAAGCACCGGCUAACUUCG